UACAGAGGGGGGCAAGCGUUGUUCGGAAUUACUGGGCGUAAAGGGCGCGUAGGCGGCCUGUUAAGUCGAACGUGAAAUCCCCCGGGCUCAACCCCGGGAACUGCGUCCGAUACUGGCAGGCUUGAAUCCGGGAGAGGGAUGUGGAAUUCCAGGUGUAGCGGUGAAAUGCGUAGAUAUCUGGAGGAACACCGGUGGCGAAGGCGGCAUCCUGGACCGGUAUUGACGCUGAGGCGCGAAAGCCAGGGGAGCAAACGGGG
rnacentral:rRNA from 1 species